AUGUUCAUCUUCUUUUCCAAAGCCCUUCUUAGACUAUCUUGCAGUUUCCUUUCCAGGCCUAUGAUACCUCCUUUUAAUUCUCAUUCUCCAUGCACUCACCAUUAUUACCAUCUCAUAAAACAAGGAAGAAAAAGUAAGGUGGUUAGCAAACAAAAUUUAAUUAUAAACAAGAUAGUUUUAAAGAAAUUUUACAAUUUCAUCAUUAGGGCUUUCUUGAAGGAAUCAACUUGUGGUUUAAGGAAUUAUCUUUAA